rnacentral:rRNA from 1 species
UACGUAGGGUGCAAGCGUUAAUCGGAAUUACUGGGCGUAAGCGUGCGCAGGCGGUUUUGUAAGUUUGUCGUGAAAGCCCCGGGCUCAACCUGGGAAUUGCGAUGAAGACUGCAAGGCUUGAAUCUGGCAGAGGGGGGUAGAAUUCCACGUGUAGCAGUGAAAUGCGUAGAGAUGUGGAGGAAUACCGAUGGCGAAGGCAGCCCCCUGGGAUAACACUGACGCUCAUGCACGAAAGCGUGGGGAGCAAACAGG